rnacentral:lncRNA from 1 species
GCUCCUUGUUGUCACUUGAAGGUGCUGGCGAUGCACAAUGAAAUGCUACUGAAACAUCUUGUAAAGCUGGGAGUAAGGCCUCUUUGUUGCAAAGGUCUCCCAGGAAAAACUGCACUCUGUCAUGAUCAAAUCUCUUCUGAAUAUCAAACACAUUGACUGAGUAACCCUUGUCCAGUAGCUUCUCUACCAUAUGCUGGCCUAAGAAUCCGGAGCCACCAAUCACUACGCAUUUCUUCCCAGUCGAUCUGAAGUGUGUGGCCAUUUCUCAGAUGUUUUAGUAUUAACCUAAUUCCUCAGUCCCCGAUUCCGUCUCCCCUCUCCGCGACGCCGUCACCCCCUCCUCAGCUCCCCUC